GGGCUGUGCUUGUGCCAUGCCGGACCAGCCCAGUCCGUUUGACACCUCCAGCUGUCUCAGUAUCUUCCACCAGUCUAUGUUCCGGAUGCUACACUUCCCCGCCGUGGACAGGAGUGUUUGACGGUAUUCUUGAGGUGCUAUACUAUUGGAACCCCGAAACCAACAUUUCCCAGUAUGAAAAACCUAAUUCCACCUGUCGUUAUUCCACUCAGCAAUCGCUUCAAGUUGACCCCUACCUUUCUCAGCCACAAACUCCUUUGGCCCAGCACCAAACACUAGCGAUUCAGUGCAAUCAGUUGCUCCAAUGGAAGGGAAGAUGCCGUUUGGGGUCUUUAUCCGAUUGUUUCUCUGCUAUUUUUUGUGAACCACACCUUGCCGGUGCCAUCGAACCCAAGUCCAAUCGCCCAUGGUUCGAGGCUAAGAGAUAUGGACGAUGAGAAUGUACUGGACUAUUUGGAUGUGUGUGGAUUUUAUUGAUAAGGGUUCUGUUUUGGUGCAUUGCUUUGCUGGUGUUUCGAGAAGGGUUUACACCCUUGUUUGCAUGUGUUUGUUGCAGUGCAGCUAUCAUUACAAUUUACAGCAUAUCUGAUGAGAACAGAACAUUUAUCACAAGAAGAAGCACUAGGAUCCCCGAGGCAAAGCUGUGAGUUUGUUUGCCCCAAUGAUGGUUUUCUAGAUCAGGUGAUGCAAGCUCAAAUUUACAAGGAAAUGGGCUUCAAGGUUGAUCGUGCCAGCCCCAUAUAUAAGUCUUUUCGCCUGAAAGUAUUGGGUAAUUGAGGACCUUGGUGGUGCUAUUACGUCUGAUGGAAGCACAAGCAAACAUGUUGUCAUGGGGAAAGUGAGAACAACUUUUAAUUUUUGUACUGCUCUUUGUUCAGGGUAUGGGUUAAACAAUUACUAAGCACAUAUACCAAAUGGGCCAAAAAGCUAGGUUAUAAAGCGAGGGUCAUUGAGAAGUGUUCUUCCACAUAUGGUGGCGUCAAGUCAGCAACUAUUGAGUUUGAGUUUGCUUAUGGCUAUCUUUCAGGAGAGACAGGUGUUCACAACAUUAUAAGUUCGCAAAAUGGAUCUGCUUUGCAUUUGUUUGACUUGCCAGAGCUAUGACUUAUGAGGAGAGCAGGAACAGUGUGCAUUGAGCUCCAUUUGAUUGUGUCCCCUGCCGCCCGCAUCGCUUCAACCUGAAUGUAAUGUUACACCUGGCUCCCAAUCUUCUACGAAGAACCUCAUCUAGAACCCCUGCACCCUCACCCUCUUCCAAAUGUCCUAUAUGAUAAAUAGAGGAUGGAAAUGUUAAAUUAAUCAGUUGUACAAAUUAAUCUCUAAUGUAUGUAGAAUGUCGAAUUGCUUGGGCUCUACAAGUGUUUGGAAGGCCAAUAAUAAAGAAAUUCACAAGUAUCUAACCA